AAGUCGUAACAAGGUUUCCGUAGGUGAACCUGCGGAAGGAUCAUUAACACGUAUCCACGUAUACACCAAUCGCGAACUGGUUUUCAACCUUCUCCCUGCUUAUUGAAUGAAUCGGAUGACUGCGUAUCAUAUUAUGAUAGGAUAUUAUUUACUUAAUAUCUGUAUGACUCGCUUUCACUCGUCUUCGGACGGCCGAUUGUAUCAAUACUGUCAGGCACCCAGCUGCUAAUAUAGUCGACCUAUCAUACUGACUUAUUAGUGGCGACACUUAUUAACAAUUUUCACCCACUUUUUGCUAGUUGACUUUUAUAUGUUGGAUGGUCGUAUGAUUCGUCAUACACUCUCCACACGUUACUUAAUUGAACGUUAAAAUUACAACUCUUAGCAAUGGAUAUCUUGGUUCUC
rnacentral:misc_RNA from 1 species